GGAGUUAGCCGGUGCUUCUUCUGCGAGUAACGUCACAGAUGUAAGGUAUUAACUUACACCCUUUCCUCCUCGCUGAAAGUGCUUUACAACCCGAAGGCCUUCUUCACACACGCGGCAUGGCUGCAUCAGGGUUUCCCCCAUUGUGCAAUAUUCCCCACUGCUGCCUCCCGUAGGAGUCUGGGCCGUGUCUCAGUCCCAGUGUGGCUGAUCAUCCUCUCAGACCAGCUAGGGAUCGUCGCCUAGGUGAGCCUUUACCUCACCUACUAGCUAAUCCCACCUGGGCUUAUCCAUCAGCGCAAGGCCCGAAGGUCCCCUGCUUUCCCCCGUAGGGCGUAUGCGGUAUUAGCAGUCGUUUCCAACUGUUAUCCCCCACAAAUGGGCAAAUUCCCAGGCCAUUACUCACCCGUCCGCCGCUCGUCAUCUUCAAAAGCAAGCUUUUGAAAUGUUACCGCUCGACUUGCAUGUGUUAGGCCUGCCGCCAGCGUUCAAUCUGAACCAGAUCAAAUUCUGA
rnacentral:rRNA from 1 species